UACGUAGGUGGCAAGCGUUGUCCGGAAUUAUUGGGCGUAAAGCGCGCGCAGGCGGCCUUUUAAGUCUGAUGUGAAAGCCCACGGCUCAACCGUGGAAGGUCAUUGGAAACUGAAAGGCUUGAGUACAGAAGAGGAAAGCGGAAUUCCACGUGUAGCGGUGAAAUGCGUAGAGAUGUGGAGGAACACCGAUGGCGAAGGCAGCCCCCUGGGCUAACACUGACGCUCAUGCACGAAAGCGUGGGGAGCAAACAGG
rnacentral:rRNA from 1 species